rnacentral:misc_RNA from 1 species
UCCGAGUUGACCCCGGCAGUCUCCCAUGAGUCCCCGCCAUUACGCGCUGGCAACAUGGAACGAGGGUUGCGCUCGUUGCGGGACUUAACCCAACAUCUCACGACACGAGCUGACGACAGCCAUGCAGCACCUGUGUAAUAGUCCCGAAGGAAAGUCCCAUUUCUGGAACGGUCUACUACAUGUCAAGUCUGGGUAAGGUUCUUCGCGUUGCAUCGAAUUAAACCACAUGCUCCACUGCUUGUGCGGGUCCCCGUCAAUUCUUUUGAGUUUCAGCCUUGCGACUGUACUUCCCAGGCGGUAUACUUAACGCGUUAGCUUCGGCACAACUAGGGUUGAGUCCAGUUACACCAAGUAUACAUAGUUUACGGCAAGGACUAC